ACCUGUCCUUGACAUCUGCCCGGCAGGCGAGUAACGUCGCCCUUCNUACGGGACGGGCAAGACAGGUGGUGCAUGGUUGUCGUCAGCUCGUGUCGUGAGAUGUUGGGUUAAGUCCCGCAACGAGCGCAACCCCUAUCUUCAGUAGCCAGCAUUUGAGGUGGGCACUCUGGAGAGACUGCCAGGGACAACCUGGAGGAAGGUGGGGACGACGUCAAAUCAUCAUGCCCCUUAUGGGCAGGGCUACACACGUGCUACAAUGGCGUAAACAAAGGGAGGCGAAGCCGCGAGGCCGAGCAAAUCCCAAAAAUAACGUCCCAGUUCGGAUUGCAGUCUGCAACUCGACUGCAUGAAGCUGGAAUCGCUAGUAAUCGCGAAUCAGAAUGUCGCGGUGAAUACGUUCCCGGGUCUUGUACACACCGCCCGUCACACCAUGGGAGUUGGUAACGCCCGAAGUCAGUGACCCAACCGGAAGGAGGGAGCUGCCGAAGGCGGGACCGGUAACUGGGGUGAAGUCGUAACAAGG
rnacentral:rRNA from 1 species